CAAUAGCGUAUAUUAAAGUUGUUGCGGUUAAAAAGCUCGUAGUUGGAUUUCUGCUGAGGACGAUCGGUCCGCCCUCUGGGUGAGUAUCUGGCUCGGCCUUGGCAUCUUCUUGGAGAACGUUACUGCACUUGACUGUGUGGUGCGGUAUCCAGGACUUUUACUUUGAGGAAAUUAGAGUGUUUCAAGCAGGCGCACGCCUUGAAUACAUUAGCAUGGAAUAAUAAGAUAGGACCUUGGUUCUAUUUUGUUGGUUUCUAGAGCUGAGGUAAUGAUUAAUAGGGAUAGUUGGGGGCAUUCGUAUUUAACUGUCAGAGGUGAAAUUCUUGGAUUUGUUAAAGACGGGCUACUGCGAAAGCAUUUGCCAAGGAUGUUUUCAUUGA
rnacentral:rRNA from 1 species